rnacentral:tRNA from 1 species
GCGCCCGUAGCUCAGUUGGAUAGAGCGCCGGACUACGAAUCCGUAGGUCGGGGGUUCGAAUCCCUCCGGGCGCGCCA